rnacentral:rRNA from 1 species
UGGGGAAUAUUGCACAAUGGGCGCAAGCCUGAUGCAGCAACGCCGCGUGAGGGACGACGGCCUUCGGGUUGUAAACCUCUUUUAGUAGGGAAGAAGCGAAAGUGACGGUACCUGCAGAAAAAGCACCGGCUAACUACGUGCCAGCAGCCGCGGUAAUACGUAGGGUGCGAGCGUUGUCCGGAAUUAUUGGGCGUAAAGAGCUCGCAGGCGGUCUGUCGCGUCUGCUGUGAAAACCCGAGGCUCAACCUCGGGCCUGCAGUGGGUACGGGCAGACUAGAGUGCGGUAGGGGAGAAUGGAAUUCCUGGUGUAGCGGUGGAAUGCGCAGAUAUCAGGAGGAACACCGAUGGCGAAGGCAGUUCUCUGGGCCGUAACUGACGCUGAGGAGCGAAAGCGUGGGGAGCGAACAGGAUUAGAUACCCUGGUAGUCCACGCCGUAAACGUUGGGCGCUAGAUGUGGGGACCAUUCCACGGUUUCCGUGUCGCAGCUAACGCAUUAAGCGCCCCGCCUGGGGAGUACGGCCGCAAGGCU